rnacentral:piRNA from 1 species
UCCAUGGAUGUCCUAUAAUGCCAAGCUCUGU